AUUGAACGCUGGCGGCAGGCCUAACACAUGCAAGUCGAACGAGUGGCGGACGGGUGAGUAAUAUCUGGGAAACUAGCCGAUGGAGGGGGAUAACUAAUGGAAACGGUAUCUAAUACCGCAUACCAUCGGAUGAGCCCAGAUGGUAUUAGCUAGUAGGUGGGGUAAUGGCUCACCUAGGCGACGAUCCCUAGCUGGUCUGCGAGGGUGCACAGCCACACUGGAACUGAGGCACGGUCAAGACUCCUCCGGCAGGCAUGCGUGGGGAACAUUGCACAAUGGGCGAAAGCCUGAUGCAUCCAUGCCGUGUGUAUGAAGAAGGCCUUCGGGUUGUAAAGUACUUUCAGCGAGGAGGCGUUACUCGCAGAAGAAGCACCGGCUAACGCCGUGCCAGCAGCCGCGGUAAUAC
rnacentral:rRNA from 1 species